rnacentral:rRNA from 1 species
CCUACGGGAGGCAGCAGUGGGGAAUAUUGCACAAUUGGGGAAACCCCGAUGCAGCGACGCCGCGUGAGUGAAGAAGUAAUUCGUUAUGUAAAGCUCUAUCAGCAGGGAAGAAAAUGACGGUACCUGAGUAAGAAUCCCCGGCUAACUACGUGCCAGCAGCCGCGGUAAGACGUAGGGGGAAAGCGUUAUCCGGAUUUACUGGGUGUAAAGGGAGCGUAGACGGCAGUGCAAGUAUGGAGUGAAAGGCGGGGGCUCAACCCCCGGACUGCUCUGGAAACUGUACGGCGGGAGUGCAGGAGAGGUAGGUGGAAUUCCUAGUGUAGCGGUGAAAUGCGUAGAUAUUAGGAGGAACACCAGUGGCGAAGGCGGCUUACUGGACUGUAACUGACGUUGAGGCUCGAAAGCGUGGGGAGCAAACAGGAUUAGAUACCCUUGUAGUC